rnacentral:rRNA from 1 species
AUUGAACGCUGGCGGCAGGCUUAACACAUGCAAGUCGAGCGGAGAUGAGGUGCUUGCACCUUAUCUUAGCGGCGGACGGGUGAGUAAUGCUUAGGGAUCUGCCUAUUAGUGGGGGACAACAUUCCUAAAGGAAUGCUAAUACCGCAUACGUCCUACGGGAGAAAGCAGGGGAUCUUCGGACCUUGCGCUAAUAGAUGAGCCUAAGUCGGAUUAGCUAGUUGGUGGGGUAAAGGCCUACCAAGGCGACGAUCUGUAGCGGGUCUGAGAGGAUGAUCCGCCACACUGGGACUGAGACACGGCCCAGACUCCUACGGGAGGCAGCAGUGGGGAAUAUUGGACAAUGGGGGGAACCCUGAUCCAGCCAUGCCGCGUGUGUGAAGAAGGCCUUAUGGUUGUAAAGCACUUUAAGCGAGGAGGAGGCUACUGAGACUAAUACUCUUGGAUAGUGGACGUUACUCGCAGAAUAAGCACCGGCUAACUCUGUGCCAGCAGCCGCCGUAAAAC